rnacentral:rRNA from 1 species
UUUGGUAAUGAUGGCAGAGAGGUCACACCCGUUCCCAUACCGAACACGGAAGUUAAGCUCUCUAGCGCCGAUGGUAGUUGGGACCUUGUCCCUGUGAGAGUAGGACGUCGCCAAGC